rnacentral:piRNA from 1 species
ACAUCAGUGCUUUGACAGGAGGAGCUGCUC